rnacentral:rRNA from 1 species
AUGAACGCUAGCGAUCGGCUUCACCCCUGCCAGUCGCGGGGCAGCAUGGUCUUAGCUUGCUCCGGCUGAUGGCGGCCGGCGCACUGGUGCGUAACGCGUAUGCAACUUGCCUCACAGAGGGGGAUAACCCGUCGAAAGACGCACUAAUACCGCGUACACUCUAUGUUGGGCAUCCAAUGUAGAGGCAAUGAAAUUCGCUGUGAGAUAGGCAUGCGUCCCAUUAGCUAGUUGGUGAGGUAACGGCUCACCAAGGCGACGAUGGGUAGGGGAACGGAGAGGUUGAACCACUAGGAUGGUACUGAGACACGGACCAGACUGCGAGGGGAGGGAGCAGUGAGGAAGACAGGGCAAGGGACGAGAGCCUGAACCAGCCAAGUGGCGUGAAGGAGGACUGGCUUAUGGAUCGUAAACUGCUUGUAAACGGGAAUAACAAGAGUCACGUGUGGCGCCAUGAAGGUACCGUAUGAAUAAGCACCGGCUAACUCCGUG